rnacentral:rRNA from 1 species
UGGGGAAUCUUGCACAAUGGGGGAAACCCUGAUGCAGCGACGCCGCGUGAGCGAUGAAGGUUUUCGAAUCGUAAAGCUCUGUCCUAUGGGAAGAUAAUGACGGUACCAUGGGAGGAAGCCCCGGCUAACUACGUGCCAGCAGCCGCGGUAAUACGUAGGGGGCGAGCGUUGUCCGGAAUUACUGGGCGUAAAGGGUUCGCAGGCGGCAUGGCAAGUCCGAUGUAAAAGGCGAAGGCUCAACCUUCGUAAGCAUCGGAAACUGUCAAGCUUGAGUGAAGGAGAGGCAAGUGGAAUUCCUAGUGUAGCGGUGGAAUGCGUAGAUAUUAGGAGGAAUACCGGUGGCGAAGGCGACUUACUGGGCUCAUUCUGACGCUGAGGAACGAAAGCGUGGGUAGCAAACAGG